GACAGAGGGUGCAAACGUUGUUCGGAAUUACUGGGCGUAAAGCGCACGUAGGCGGAUACUUAAGUCAGGGGUGAAAUCCCGGGGCUCAACCCCGGAACUGCCUUUGAUACUGGGUAUCUCGAGUCCGGAAGAGGUGAGUGGAAUUCCGAGUGUAGAGGUGAAAUUCGUAGAUAUUGGGAAGAACACCGGUGGCGAAGGCGGCGCUCUGGACCGAGACUGACGCUGAGGCGCGAAAGCCAGGGGAGCAAACGGG
rnacentral:rRNA from 1 species